rnacentral:rRNA from 1 species
AAAUUGAAGAGUUUGAUCAUGGCUCAGAUUGAACGCUGGCGGCAGGCCUAACACAUGCAAGUCGAACGGUAACAGGAAGCAGCUUGGCUGCUUUGCUGACGAGUGGCGGACGGGUGAGUAAUGUCUGGGAAACUGCCUGAUGGAGGGGGAUAACUACUGGAAACGGUGGCUAAUACCGCAUAACGUCGCAAGACCAAAGAGGGGGACCUUCGGGCCUCUUGCCAUCAGAUGUGCCCAGAUGGGAUUAGCUUGUUGGUGAGGUAACGGCUCACCAAGGCGACGAUCCCUAGCUGGUCUGAGAGGAUGACCAGCCACACUGGAACUGAGACACGGUCCAGACUCCUACGGGAGGCAGCAGUGGGGAAUAUUGCACAAUGGGCGCAAGCCUGAUGCAGCCAUGCCGCGUGUAUGAAGAAGGCCUUCGGGUUGUAAAGUACUUUCAGCGGGGAGGAAGGUGUUGUGGUUAAUAACCGCAGCAAUUGACGUUACCCGCAGAAGAAGCACCGGCUAACUCCGUGCCAGCAGCCGCGGUAAUACGGAGGGUGCAAGCGUUAAUCGGAAUUACUGGGCGUAAAGCGCACGCAGGCGGUCUGUCAAGUCGGAUGUGAAAUCCCCGGGCUCAACCUGGGAACUGCAUUCGAAACUGGCAGGCUUGAGUCUUGUAGAGGGGGGUAGAAUUCCAGGUGUAGCGGUGAAAUGCGUAGAGAUCUGGAGGAAUACCGGUGGCGAAGGCGGCCCCCUGGACAAAGACUGACGCUCAGGUGCGAAAGCGUGGGGAGCAAACAGGAUUAGAUACCCUGGUAGUCCACGCCGUAAACGAUGUCUACUUGGAGGUUGUGCCCUUGAGGCGUGGCUUCCGGAGCUAACGCGUUAAGUAGACCGCCUGGGGAGUACGGCCGCAAGGUUAAAACUCAAAUGAAUUGACGGGGGCCCGCACAAGCGGUGGAGCAUGUGGUUUAAUUCGAUGCAACGCGAAGAACCUUACCUGGUCUUGACAUCCACAGAACUUUCCAGAGAUGGAUUGGUGCCUUCGGGAACUGUGAGACAGGUGCUGCAUGGCUGUCGUCAGCUCGUGUUGUGAAAUGUUGGGUUAAGUCCCGCAACGAGCGCAACCCUUAUCCUUUGUUGCCAGCGGUCCGGCCGGGAACUCAAAGGAGACUGCCAGUGAUAAACUGGAGGAAGGUGGGGAUGACGUCAAGUCAUCAUGGCCCUUACGACCAGGGCUACACACGUGCUACAAUGGCGCAUACAAAGAGAAGCGACCUCGCGAGAGUAAGCGGACCUCAUAAAGUGCGUCGUAGUCCGGAUUGGAGUCUGCAACUCGACUCCAUGAAGUCGGAAUCGCUAGUAAUCGUGGAUCAGAAUGCCACGGUGAAUACGUUCCCGGGCCUUGUACACACCGCCCGUCACACCAUGGGAGUGGGUUGCAAAAGAAGUAGGUAGCUUAACCUUCGGGAGGGCGCUUACCACUUUGUGAUUCAUGACUGGGGUGAAGUCGUAACAAGGUAACCGUAGGGGAACCUGCGGUUGGAUCACCUCCUUA